UACAGAGGGUGCGAGCGUUGUCCGGAAUCACUGGGCGUAAAGGGCGCGUAGGCGGACAGUUUAGUCAGAGGUGAAAGCCCAGGGCUCAACCUUGGAACUGCCUUUGAUACUGGCUGUCUUGAGUUCGGGAGAGGUGAGUGGAAUGCCGAGUGUAGAGGUGAAAUUCGUAGAUAUUCGGCGGAACACCAGUGGCGAAGGCGACUCACUGGCCCGAUACUGACGCUGAGGCGCGAAAGCGUGGGGAGCAAACAGG
rnacentral:rRNA from 1 species